rnacentral:rRNA from 1 species
CCUACGGGAGGCUGCAGUGAGGAAUAUUGGUCAAUGGCCGAAAGGCUGAACCAGCCAAGUCGCGUGAAGGAAGAAGGAUCUAUGGGUUGUAAACUUCUUUUAUAGGGGAAUAAAGGGAGGCACGUGUGGAAAUUUGCAUGUACCCUAUGAAUAAGGAUCGGCUAACUCCGUGCCAGCAGCCGCGGUAAUACGGAGGAUGCGAGCGUUAUCCGGAUUUAUUGGGUUUAAAGGGUGCGUAGGUGGUUUGUUAAGUCAGCUGUGAAAGUUUGUGGCUCAACCCUAAAAUUGCCGUUGAAACUGGCAGUCUUGAGUGUGUUUGAGGUAGGCGGAAUGCGUGGUGUAGCGG